rnacentral:rRNA from 1 species
GUGGGGAAUAUUGCGCUAAUGCGCGAAAGCGUGACGCAGCGACGCCGCGUGGGGGAUGAAGGCCCUCGGGUCGUAAACCCCUUUCGGCAGGGACGAAGCGAAAGUGACGGUACCUGCAGAAGAAGUCCCGGCUAACUACGUGCCAGCAGCCGCGGUAACACGUAGGGGACGAGCGUUGUCCGGAUUCAUUGGGCGUAAAGCGCGCGUAGGCGGUCGUGCAAGUCGGUCGUGAAAUCCCGGGGCUCAACCCCGGGACUGCGUCCGAUACUGCACGACUGGAGGCAGGUAGGGGAGAUCGGAAUUCCUGGUGUAGCGGUGAAAUGCGCAGAUAUCAGGAGGAACACCGGUGGCGAAGGCGGAUCUCUGGGCCUUGCCUGACGCUGAGGCGCGAAAGCUAGGGGAGCGAACAGGAUUAGAUACCCGAGUAGUCC